CAGAACCACUGAGUGACUUGCUUUAAACCACAGGCAGUGCACGAGCAGAAACAGGGGUUGGAUUCAGGCCUCACAGACUUUCAUUGCAGAUGAUUGGUGCCGAGCUGCCUUCUUUCUGCUCCGUGCCAGAGGACAGCACAGAGCAGCCACCCGGAGGUCACAGCCUGCAGAGCGCCAGGACAUAACGCACAGAAAUAGAUCCCUGUUACAAAAUGUCGCGGGAUGUUUUUCACAUUAUCACCUUUCAGAGCAAAAGAUGCAAAGAAGAAACCUCUGCUCAUCCCCAUCCUAGAUGUACUAAUUGCCUCUGAGACAACUUCGCCAAGAGAGAAAAAGACAGACGCCGCAAAGCAGAGUUCUCACAGCUGUGUGAUGCCAGAAACUGUUCCAUGUGAUGAACCUCAGCCUUAUAUACAUUCAGCUCAGAAUGAAGUGUGGCUUAAAUGUGAAGUGUCCAUCAUGCAGAUGGGGACCUGAAACAGAGGCUGGACUUUCCCUUCAUGUUCUGGCUGUUCCCUUAACCUGAGUGCAAUGCAGAGAGCUUCAGCUGAGCAGAGCGACUCUUCGGAAAUGGUAUGGAAGCUAUUAAAGUUUAAAAUGCAAUCAUGUGCAUGAAAGAGAGGUCAUUCCUUCACACUGCUUGGAGUCCAAGCGAAAGGAGGAAAAGGGGAAGUGCCUCAGCUGUUUAG